ACAGUGGUAUAUUUUGAAUGGAAAAAAAAGAAUUACACACUAGUCCGAGAACAAAAUACAAAAGAAUAUAAAUUCACAAAAAUUCAUACAAUCUUUAAUAAAAUGAAUAAUACAAAUAUACAAUCAUCGAGAUAUUUUUGCAAUAAUUAAUGACCUUAAAGAACAAACAGAAAUAUCGACUUCAAAUGGUGAAACAUAUACAAAACAAAAAAUCAAUUUGAUUGAUGAAGGAUUAAAAACAAUUGAAAAAAGAAUUUAAAUGAAUUGAAGAAAAGGACAUUGAAAUUAUUGAAUUCAUCAAAAUAAACUUAAUUCAAAAUUUAGAAAAUCAAAUAUUUAUAAAUUUGAAGAGUGGCUUAAUAAAAAAUGUAAUAACAGAUGUUUAACAAAUAGUGUUGGAAAUAGACAUAAUAAUAUGCCAGGACCUUAUGGAGAAAAAUAAAUGAUAAAUAAUAAAUAAUUUUCAUAAUUUCUAUUGUCAUCUUAUUGUUAUUUUCUUAUAUUUUCUAUCUUAAUUUCUUAUUUAUACAAUUAUAAUACCC